CUCCCUGCCUGGCCCGAGACCCACCUGUCUGCCUCCCGCGCAGCCGCCUCCCCACCUCCGCCGGCGGCUGCCAUUCGCCUGCCUUGUCUCUCCCUCUCCCCUGGACCUUUCAUCUGGGCUUUUUCCAUUCCGUUCUUCUUCCUUUUAAUUCCUUCCUUCCUAAUUGGCCCCCUCUGGCUUUCCUCCCUGUGGACAGCUGGGGUCUUGCGACUGUGGAAAAACCUGAAACAAACUGUGCUCAGGUAAUGCUGAUUUCACAGAAGAAACUGGGAAGCAUUUUCUCAUCCUUUCUUCUGAAAGCAUUUAAGAUUCACAUAGUUUCUUUGCUAAAUGAUACAACUCACUGAUGAAUUCAGCUGCACUGGGGGGAUUCCUUGUCGUUGGAGAAGGUCAUUAAGAGGACCCGAGUCUGGGUGACUCCUCCCGCGGGACCAGGGCAGCAGGAGAACAGGAAGCUCCUCCCCUCCCCCGCCCCCAUCCUUGGAAAGUGCGACCUCCUUGCCUUCCGAAGGACAGAAGCUGCUCCAGGACACAGCCUCGAGGUAGUCAGUGUUGUGGAGACCGCUGCAAGGACACAUGUGACGGAACCCAGUUAAAUUCCCCAUGCGAUCUUUUAAGAUUCUGGAGUUCUUGCUGUGACACAGUGGGUUAAAAGUCUGGCAUCCUUGCAGCUGUGGUGUAGGUUGCAGCUGGGACUAGGAUUCAGUCCCUGGCUCCCAGGAACUUCAUGUGCCAUGGGUGCAGCUGAAAAAAAAAAAAAAAAAAAAAGACAGUGGUGGGCAAGUGCUCUCCUCCUUGUGUGAGGCACGCAAGACAAGCCUCAUAAGCAAGUUCCCUUCGUGUUACACGGCCACCUGCCCAUCUGGAGAGUCUGCCUCUCUCUCUAUUCUCCUCUUGCCUUCUGUGCGUGGGGACCAGUUUCAGAUCGCACCUGGGAAGUUCCUGAGGUUGCAAACCAACACUCUUUACACAGAAGAGUCUUCCCUUCAGUUUCCACCGCCGCCACUGCAGUGGUAGUGGCAGGCUUCUCUGUGUGGCACGUGGAAGUGUUUGGAGCUGAAGCAAAAGUGCAGGACUGUGGAGAUCAGUCAGGGGCCCAUUACAAUAUUCCAGGUGAGGUAAGUUGCUGCCUUUCCCUUUUUCCUAAGGUCAUAGAAAGGAGAUGAGAAAAACCAGAUUGAUUCGUUUGGGAGGUAUUUGGGGCUUGACAGAAAGAUUAGAGAUCUUCCGGCUUCAGCUCCAAUGUGCAAAAAUCACGACAAUAGUCAUUCUUGUCCUUACGAUAAGAAAAAGCUAACCAAACUGAAAAUCAAAGAUUUUUCUUGGACCUUUAAAAGAACAGAAGUUGCAGGGCAAACUCCUACCGUCAAAUCUUGGGAGACUGGUAAAUCCAGAAAGUCGCAGUUGAGAUAGGCUUACUGGGAGCCAUAAGCUCAUAGAAAUGCUUAAAUUAUUAUUAAGAUUUUUAUUAAAGCAUAGUUGAUUUACAGUGUUCUGCCAAUUUCUGCUGUACAGCAAAGUGAUCCAGUCACAGGUAUAUGUACAUCCUUUUUCUCAUGUUAUCUUCCAUUGAGUUCUAUUACAAAUAAUUGCAUUAUUUUGACAAUCUGAGGGAGUCUGAGUGUGGCUAAAAAGAGAGCAAGGAACUCCUGGAGCCCUGCAUGUCAUGGGCUCAGCUUCUAGGAACUGGCUCAUGUUCUCCUAGCUAAGACCCAGAAGGAUCCACCAUGGCUCUGGCAGGAGGAGGACAAGAGUACGUUAUAAAAUAUUCCCAGAGCAUGCAAAAUCUCAGGCUUUAAGGAAGAAGAAUUUACCAGAGCUUCAUCCCACCUGGAGGAAGGGCGUUUCUCUUUCUCCAGCCCCUGGUGCCUUCCUUUUCAAGUAAGUGGGUGAACAAAAAGCUAGGAAACCCUUGUGACCAUCGGAGUCCAGGACCCAGGCACACUGUGGUACUGAGACGUUGUCCUAAGGUCACAGAAGGUUUCCUGCCCCCAACUCCUCAUUUCCACGGCAACCAGGCGCCAGGACCACGGCGUGGGUUGCACCGGAAGGAGGUGAAACAAACAUGCUGUGCAAGCAGGACUUCUCAGGGAAGAGAAAGCCAACAGAGGAGACACAGACAAGGAGGCUAGAGGGACUGAACGUUUCCGACACCUACAGCUACGGCAAACAGUAAACACAGCCUGACUCCCAGCCAGACCAACGUAGAUCUAACCACCUCAAGGCAUCCCAGUUCCUCUUAUGUUUUGACACACAUCUCACGUUCAACAGAAAUUACAAGGCAUGACAAAAGGCAAAAACCACCCUCUGAUGAGACAAAGCAAGUGUCAAAAACAGACUCAGAUGUGGCACAGAUGUUGUGAUAAUUAGACAGGGAACUUGAAAUAACUAUUAUUAGUACAUGGAGGACUUUAGUGGAGAAAGCAGACGACAUACAAGAACAGAAGGGCCAUGUAAGCCGAGAGAGGGAAAUUCUAAGAAAGGAUUCAAAAGAAACGCUGAAAAUCCCAAACUCUGUAACAAUAGUGAAGAAUGCCUUUGGUGAGUUGGUCUGUGGACUAUCGUCUGCAAUACAGGGAGAAAAAAGACUGAGAAAAAGAAUAGGAUAUCUGAAAACUAUGAGACAGUUUCAGAAGGUGUCUGGUACAUGCCCUUGGGCUUUAGGAGAGGAGAAGUAAGAGAAGACAGAGCUGAAGAGAAAUGGCCAAGAUGUUUCAGAGCUAACGAUAGACACUAAAAUGAAGUUCCAGGAAGCUCAGGGAAUACGAAGCUGUACAAAUAAAUCACAAAAUAUCUACACCAAAGGGAAUCACACGUAAGAGUACAAAGAAAAAGGAAAACAAAAUCCAAAAAUUAGAAAAAAAAUGACUAAUGGAAAAUCUUGAAAGAAACCUGAAUGUGUAAGGGGGGCUCCCAUUGCUUAUGGAGGGAAAAGGAAGAAUUACGUGGAUUCCCCUCAGAAACCACACAAGCAGGAGGUGAUUGAGGUCAAUAGUAAGUUGUUGAAAGAAAAAAUACUAUCAAGCCAGAAUUUUAUGUGUAGUGAAGGCAUCCUUCAAAAUGAAGGGGAAAUAAAAAAUUCCUCAAAUCAUCAAACACUGACAGUUCAUCACCCAGCAGCAGACCAAUUAAAACAAAUUCUUUAGUGAGAAGAAAAAUUAUGUAGAACAGAAACUUGAACUACAGAAAGGAAGAUCAUAAGAGAAGGAUAAAUGAAGAUAAAAUAUUUUUCAUUUUCUUAACUAAUCUAAAGAUAAUUGUUUAAAGUGAUGAUAGUAACAAUAUAUUGGUUAAUUGGGAGAUUACAUGUGGAUAAUUGGGAAUACAGUAUUAUAAGUUAACAGCCUUAUAUGUAGUGUGAUAUAGUAUUAUUUGAAUGGACUUAGAUUAGCUAAAAAACGUAUGUUGCAAACUCUAGGGCAACCACUAGAAAGUCAAAAUGAAGUGUAAUUGAUAAGCUAUUAGAGGAGUUAAAAUGGAAUCAUACUAAAAACUGAGGGGUUCCCAU